rnacentral:rRNA from 1 species
UACAGGGGGGGCAAGCGUUGUUCGGAAUUACUGGGCGUAAAGGGUCUGUAGGUGGCCAACUAAGUCAGACGUGAAAUCCCUCAGCUUAACUGGGGAACUGCGUCUGAUACUGGAUGGCUUGAGUGCAGGAGAGGAAUGCGGAAUUCCAGGUGUAGCGGUGAAAUGCGUAGAUAUCUGGAGGAACACCGGUGGCGAAGGCGGCAUCUGGACUGUAACUGACACUGAGAGACGAAAGCCAGGGGAGCGAACGGG